GAUGAACGCUGGCGGCGUGCCAUACAUGCAAGUCGAGCGAGAUGUUAGCGCAUGAACCUUCGGGGGAUUAUGCUAACGGACAGCGGCGGACGGGUGAGUAACGCGUAGGCAACCUGCCCCUGACAGAGGGAUAGCCAUUGGAAACGAUGAUUAAAACCUCAUGACACCGUAGAAGCACAUGCUUCAUCGGUCAAAGAUUUAUCGGUCAGGGAUGGGCCUGCGUCUGAUUAACUAGUUGGUGAGGUAACGGCUCACCAAGGUGACGAUCAGUAGCCGACCUGAGAGGGUGAUCGGCCACAUUGGAACUGAGACACGGUCCAAACUCUACGGAGGCAGCAGUAGGGAAUCUUGCACAAUGGGCGAAAGCCUGAUGCAGCAACGCCGCGUGAAGGAUGAAGGCCUUCGGGUUGUAAACUUCUGUUCUAAGGGAAGAAACAAAUG
rnacentral:rRNA from 1 species